AUUGAACGCUAGCGGCAGGCCUAAUACAUGCAAGUCGAACGGGAUUGGGGAGCUUGCUCCUCAUGAGAGUGGCGAACGGGUGCGUAACGCGUAUGCAACCUACCUUCAUCAGGGGGAUAGCCCGGAGAAAUUCGGAUUAACACCGCAUAAAAACACAGUACGGCAUCGUACAAUGUUCAAAUAUUCAUAGGAUGAGGAUGGGCACGCGUGUCAUUAGCUAGUUGGUAAGGUAACGGCUUACCAAGGCGACGAUGACUAGGGGAUCUGAGAGGAUGACCCCCCACACUGGUACUGAGACACGGACCAGACUCCUACGGGAGGCAGCAGUAAGGAAUAUUGGUCAAUGGAGGCAACUCUGAACCAGCCAUGCCGCGUGCAGGAAGACGGCCCUAUGGGUUGUAAACUGCUUUUAUACGGGAAUAAACCUUGAUUCGUGAAUCGAGCUGAAUGUACCGUAAGAAUAAGGAUCGGCUAACUCCGUGCCAGCCGCCGCAGUAACAC
rnacentral:rRNA from 1 species